rnacentral:rRNA from 1 species
GUGGGGAAUCUUCCACAAUGGACGAAAGUCUGACGGAGCAACGCCGCGUGAGUGAUGACGGCCUUCGGGUUGUAAAGCUCUGUGAUCGGGGACGAAUGGCUGGUAUGCUAAUACCAUAUCAGAGUGACGGUACCCGAAUAGCAAGCCACGGCUAACUACGUGCCAGCAGCCGCGGUAAUACGUAGGUGGCAAGCGUUGUCCGGAAUUAUUGGGCGUAAAGCGCGCGCAGGCGGCUUCUUAAGUCCAUCUUAAAAGUGCGGGGCUUAACCCCGUGAUGGGAUGGAAACUGGGAGGCUGGAGUAUCGGAGAGGAAAGUGGAAUUCCUAGUGUAGCGGUGAAAUGCGUAGAGAUUAGGAAGAACACCAGUGGCGAAGGCGACUUUCUGGACGACAACUGACGCUGAGGCGCGAAAGCGUGGGGAGCAAACAGGAUUAGAAACCCUAGUAGUCC